AACUUAAAGAGACACAUGCAUAAGCGUCCUAAGAGUUUUAUUGAAAAGAAAAAAGCUCCGUCUAGAAGGAAAAAAGCUCAGGAUAAACUUGGAGAAAGUCACAUGCUCGACGAAGUAUCUUGUUCAGCACCUCCAACUUAUGAGCCCCCACAAACACAAAAGGAUCAGUUCAGUUUCACAACAUUGUUGAUGGCACCCCUUGAUGAGACAAACGUUCCAACAUUAUACUGAUUGAGAGUGACUGGU